rnacentral:rRNA from 1 species
AGAGUUUGAUCAUGGCUCAGAACGAACGCUGGCGGCGUGGAUAAGACAUGCAAGUCGAGCGGGAUUUCUUUCUGUAGCAAUACAGAGAGAAGUCCAGCGGCGAACGGGUGCGUAACACGUGGGCAAUCUGUCUUAAAGUGGGGGAUAGCUCGGCGAAAGCCGAAUUAAUACCGCAUGUGAUCAGGGAAGACAUCUUUCCAAAAUCAAAGGUGGCGCAAGCUACCGCUUUUUGAGGGGCCCGCGGCCUAUCAGCUUGUUGGUGAGGUAACGGCUUACCAAGGCUAUGACGGGUAGCUGGUCUGAGAGGACGACCAGUCACACUGGGACUGAGACACGGCCCAGACACCUACGGGUGGCAGCAGUCGAGAAUUUUUGACAAUGGGGGAAACCCUGAUCGAGCGACGCCGCGUGGAGGAUGAAGGUCUUCGGGUUGUAAACUCCUGUCAUUUGGGAACAAGGCGCACGUAUUAACUGUACGUGCGUUGAUAGUACCAGAAGAGGAAGAGACGGCUAACUCUGUGCCAGCAGCCGCGGUAAUACAGAGGUCUCAAGCGUUGUUCGGAUUCAUUGGGCGUAAAGGGUGUGUAGGUGGCGCCGUAAGUCGGGUGUGAAAUUUCGGAGCUUAACUCCGAAACUGCAUCCGAUACUGCGGUGCUUGAGGACUGGAGAGGAGACUGGAAUUUACGGUGUAGCAGUGAAAUGCGUAGAUAUCGUAAGGAAGACCAGUGGCGAAGGCGGGUCUCUGGACAGUUCCUGACACUGAGACACGAAGGCCAGGGGAGCAAACGGGAUUAGAUACCCCGGUAGUCCUGGCAGUAAACGGUGCACGUUUGGUGUGGGAGGAUUCGACCCCUUCUGCGCCGGAGCCAACGCGUUAAACGUGCCGCCUGGGGAGUACGGUCGCAAGAUUAAAACUCAAAGAAAUUGACGGGGGCCCGCACAAGCGGUGGAGUAUGUGGCUCAAUUUCGAUGCAACGCGAAGAACCUUACC